GGGCGAGUACUCGAGGUUGAAGACUGCCCCGUGGGUGCGGGUGCUGAGGUACACCGAAUCCGCGGGAUGGAUGGAACCAUAGAGGAUGGAGAGGCUGAGGCAGUUGUGGAAGAUACAGCAGACAGGACUCUGCAUGCCAUUGGAAAAGGACCGACGAGGGAGGCCGUGGGAGUUCAGAGUUGGAAGAGUCCCUCAUAAGUGAAGGCGGAUGAUAUUGUAAUAAGCAAAGAAGGCUCUGAAUUCCAGUGGCCGAUGUUAAAAGACCAGGAUUCCUGGGAUAAAUACCAUUUGGUCAUGGUAUGUAACCCUUUUUAUAUGUUACUGUAUUCAGUUUGCUAGUAUUUUGUUGAGGAUUUUUGUGUUUAUAUUCAUAAGGAAUACCGAUCUAUGAUUUUCUUUUCUUGUGGUAUCUUUCGUUCUGAUAUUAGGGUAAUAUUGGCUUCAUAGAAUGAAUUAGGCUAUGUUCCCUCCUCUUCUAUUUUUGGGGUAGAGUUUGUAUUAAUGGCUAUUAAUUCUUUAAAUAUUUGGCAGAACUCAUCCGUGAAGCCGUCUGGGCCCAGGCAGACUCCAUCUUACUGCUCUUACUGAUGAAUUUGUUCAUCUCACAACCUCUCGUGAGACUCCAGGCCGAUAUCAAUGCCUUGCCACUGAGCUCCAAACUCCCCCUUCACUGCCUGCUCUGAGAACAUGGAUCUGGGCCUUUAAAACAUUUUUCCUUUGCUAUGUAUCACGACGACACGCUUUGUAGGCAGAAUGCCCUGCAGAAGCCCUGCAGAAGGAAUGAGACUUGGCUGGUGGCUCCACUGUGCUCUCUGGCAUAUUCCUGCAGUGCCUCAGCUUCUCCAGCAUCAGCUCCUGUUUUGAUUGGUGGGUGGAAUCACCCAGCAGUCCGCAGUUUCCCCUAGCAUGCUAUUAGGCAGUUUUAUAACAGAUGCUUCCAAGAGACACCUCCCCAGGAAUAGUUUUCCCUCGCAUCCUAGAAAUGCCACCAAGUUCUGAAGGGCUGAUUUCCAGCAAGUUCCACUGGCACAGAUUUCUUUAUUUAUUGGCUGUGGUGGGUCUUCCUCGCUGCAUGUGAGCUUUCUCUAGUUGUGGAGAGUUCAGGCUUCUCAUUGUGGUGGCUUCUUUUGUGGCGCACGGCUCUAGGUAUGUGGGCUUCGUAGUUGCCGCUCAUGGGGCUCUAGAGCAUUGCUCAGCAGUUGUGGUGCAUGGGCUUAGCUGCUCCGCAGCAUGUGGGACCUUCCAGGACCAGGGAUUACACUAGGUGUCCCUUGCAUUGCAAGUUGGAUUCCUAACCACUGGACCAUCAGGGAAGCCUGGCACAGAUUUCUAAUGACUUCCUGCCAUUUAACAAGCCAUGACAAUGUCCUCUACAACAAAGUCUCAAUCAGGCCAGGCCAGUGGAAAGAGAUUUUUACUUAGGUAAGCUAAGUACUACGAGUAAUGGCUGUUCCUUACAUCUGCUAUUCUUAAACCCUUUAAAGCUCUCUUUAGUUUUCACAAGCCAUAAUCAUUUGUGAUUAAAAAUGUUUAUACCAAAUAGAUUCUCACUUGUGUAGUGAUAAUUGUGAGCAUUUCGU